rnacentral:rRNA from 1 species
UACGUAGGUGGCAAGCGUUGUCCGGAUUUACUGGGCGUAAAGAGCGCGCAGGCGGUCGUGCAAGUCGCGUGUGAAAGCCCCCGGCUCAACUGGGGAGGGUCACGCGAUACUGCUCGACUCGAAGGCAGGAGAGGGAAGUGGAAUUCCCGGUGUAGUGGUGAAAUGCGUAGAUAUCGGGAGGAACACCAGUGGCGAAGGCGACUACCUGGCCUGUUCUUGACGCUGAGGCGCGAAAGCUAGGGGAGCAACGGGG